rnacentral:rRNA from 1 species
UACGUAGGAGACGAGCGUUGUCCGGAGUUACUGGGCGUAAAGGGUGCGCAGGUGGCGGCGCGCGUGGGGGGGUGAAAUCGCCCGGCUUAACUGGGCGGGGGCCUUCCAGACGGCGUGGCUUGAGCAGCGGAGGGGGACGUGGAAUUCCGGGUGGAGCGGUGAAAUGCGUAGAUAUCGGAAGGAACAUCAGUGGCGAAAGCGACUUCCUGGACCAGUACCGACGUUCAGGCACGAAAGCGUGGGGAGCAAACAGG